GAGUUUUCGAUUGAAGGAACUGGUGUAGUUUUCUGCACUGAAAUUGCACUUUUCUUGCAGAAGUGUUGUCAAAACACCGACACCAUGUUCCAUUGAUUGGAACUGCAAUAAAAAAGUGCAAUUCCAGUGCAAUUUCGGGGCAGAGAUUUGGCACCGAAAAAUUUGUCGGUGGAGCCAGUGCACUCACCAACACAGACCAACACCAAUCACGCAAACGUCAAAGCAACGUUCAAAAUGGAUGCCAAAACAAAUCGGUUAUCGCAGAAAACGACAGGGAUAGUACCCUUCUGCCGGAAUCGCAUUUGGUACUCAAUGGUUUACCAGCUUUCGACUUCAAUUCUGUCGACUAGAGGUAUGCGUUUUAUUGAUUAGUAGCUCCCAUUUUCCCGGGCGCGAUCUCGAUGGGUCCCGCCGAGGUGGCAGAAAACAGUAACGAACUGAUCCAUACGUAGGAGUAAAAUGUUCCAAAGGUGGCCUGGAAUUCUACUGGGCUGGAAUUUCCCCAAAAAGCGGUUCCGAAGCGGCGAUCAUCUCCAGAGCCACCAUCGUUUCCACGUAAAGAAGCAAUUCAGUGUGAACCAUAAAAGGGAACCGUCGAACAACAGACGAAACCGUUGCCCGUUAUCACUAUCAACGAAAAGGAUUACCAGGUUCUGUAAAAGCUCGGUUCCGGUGGAUCCAGUUCAGUGUUUUCGGCCAAACAAAUGAGGAAUGGCGUUGAAUGUGCGUUGAAGUUGGUGGAUUUCGAAGGCGAUUCCAGCAUAGUAGAAGGCUACUUAAACAAAACGAAACAUGGCGAAAUUGCAAGGGAAUGAAAACGUAGUAGCGCUGUAUGACUAUUGUCAUGUUGCGGAGUCUAGCCAACUUUACCUGGUAAUGGAAAAGGGUGAUAAUGAUCUGCACAAAAUCCUGCAAAGCUACCGCAAGGAUAUCCCGCUGUACAUGCUUAUGCAAAUUUGGUACCAGAUAGUACAGUGUGUGCACUACAUUCACGAGCAAGGUGUCAUCCAUCUGGAUCUCAAACCGGCCAACUUUCUUAUGGUAAACUGAUUGACUUUGGCAUCGCCAGCAAUAUCUCCUUCGACUCCACCAGUAUUAUGAAGUUUUGCCAAGCGGGCACAUUCAACUACAUCAGCCCGGAAACUUUGACACUUCCGCGGAGAACGGUUCAGCCAACUCCCAGCCCAAGAUCCGCAAGUCAAAAUGCUGCAGCGAUGUCUCAAGUACGAUCGAAAGACGAGAGCUCCGACGGCGGAUUUGCUUGACUACCCGUUUGACAUGGUGAUUGGGAAAUAAAGAUGCUGUAGCAACUUUACAUAUGUGCAUAUUUCUCUGU